rnacentral:rRNA from 1 species
UACGUAGGGGGCAAGCGUUGUCCGGAAUUAUUGGGCGUAAAGGGCUCGUAGGCGGUUUCUUAAGUCUGAUGUGAAAGCCCACAGCUCAACUGUGGAGGGUCAUUGGAAACUGGGGAACUUGAGUGCAGAAGAGGAGAGUGGAAUUCCACGUGUAGCGGUGAAAUGCGUAGAUAUCGUAAGGAAGACCAGUGGCGAAGGCGAAUCUCUGGACAGUUACUGACACUGAGGCCCGAAGGCCAGGGGAGCAAACGGG